GGAAGGGGUGUAUUUAUUAGAUUAAAAACCAAGUGCCCUUCGGGGCUCCUUGGUGAUUCAUGAUAACUUCUCGAAUCGCAUGGCCUUGCGCCGGCGAUGGUUCAUUCAAAUUUCUUCCCUAUCAACUUUCGAUGUUUGGGUAUUGGCCAAACAUGGUUGCAACGGGUAACGGAGGGUUAGGGCUCGACCCCGGAGAAGGAGCCUGAGAAACGGCUACUACAUCCAAGGAAGGCAGCAGGCGCGCAAAUUACCCAAUCCCGACUCGGGGAGGUAGUGACAAUAAAUACUGAUACAGGGCUCUUUAGGGUCUUGUAAUUGGAAUGAGUACAAUUUAAAUCCCUUAACGAGGAACAAUUGGAGGGCAAGUCUGGUGCCAGCAGCCGCUGGUAAUUCCAGCUCCAAUAGCGUAUAUUAAAGUUGUAAGUGGUUAAAAAGCUCGUAGAUUUGAACCUUGGCCUCGUGCCGAGACCGGUCCGCACUCACACGCAGUGCACUGGCUCGGCCGGGGCUUUCCCUCUGUGGAACCCCAUGACCCUUCACUUGGGACGUGGCGGGGAAACAGGACUUUACUUUGAAAAAAUAAGAAGGUGCUUUCNAGGGCAGGCCCUAAU
rnacentral:rRNA from 1 species